rnacentral:tRNA from 4 species
GGUUCUAUAGUGUAGCCGGUUAUCACAGCGGAUUCUGAUUCCGCUAACCCGAGUUCGAAUCUCGGUAGGACCU